rnacentral:rRNA from 1 species
CAGCCGCCGCGGUAAUACGGAGGGUGCAAGCGUUAAUCGGAAUUACUGGGCGUAAAGCGCACGCAGGCGGUCUGACAAGUCAGAUGUGAAAUCCCCGGGCUUAACCUGGGAACUGCAUUUGAAACUGUCAGGCUGGAGUCUUGUAGAGGGGGGUAGAAUUCCAGGUGUAGCGGUGAAAUGCGUAGAGAUCUGGAGGAAUACCGGUGGCGAAGGCGGCCCCCUGGACAAAGACUGACGCUCAGGUGCGAAAGCGUGGGGAGCAAACAUGAUUAGAUACCCGUGUAGUCCCUGUCUCUUAUAC